UGGGGAAUAUUGGACAAUGGGCGAAAGCCUGAUCCAGCCAUGCCGCGUGUGUGAAGAAGGUCUUCGGAUUGUAAAGCACUUUAAGUUGGGAGGAAGGGCAUUAACCUAAUACGUUAGUGUUUUGACGUUACCGACAGAAUAAGCACCGGCUAACUCUGUGCCAGCAGCCGCGGUAAUACAGAGGGUGCAAGCGUUAAUCGGAAUUACUGGGCGUAAAGCGCGCGUAGGUGGUUUGUUAAGUUGGAUGUGAAAGCCCCGGGCUCAACCUGGGAACUGCAUCCUAAACUGGCAAGCUAGAGUACGGUAGAGGGUGGUGGAAUUUCCUGUGUAGCGGUGAAAUGCGUAGAUAUAGGAAGGAACACCAGUGGCGAAGGCGACCACCUGGACUGAUACUGACACUGAGGUGCGAAAGCGUGGGGAGCAAACA
rnacentral:rRNA from 1 species